CCUACGGGAGGCAGCAGUGGGGAAUUUUGGACAAUGGGGGCAACCCUGAUCCAGCAAUGCCGCGUGAGUGAAGAAGGCCUUCGGGUUGUAAAGCUCUUUUGUCAGGGAAGAAACGGUAGUAGCGAAUAACUAUUACUAAUGACGGUACCUGAAGAAUAAGCACCGGCUAACUACGUGCCAGCAGCCGCGGUAAUACGUAGGGUGCAAGCGUUAAUCGGAAUUACUGGGCGUAAAGCGUGCGCAGGCGGUUGUGUAAGUCAGAUGUGAAAUCCCCGGGCUCAACCUGGGAAUUGCAUUUGAGACUGCACGGCUAGAGUGUGUCAGAGGGGGGUAGAAUUCCACGUGUAGCAGUGAAAUGCGUAGAUAUGUGGAGGAAUACCGAUGGCGAAGGCAGCCCCCUGGGAUAACACUGACGCUCAUGCACGAAAGCGUGGGGAGCAAACAGGAUUAGAUACCCUGGUAGUCCACGCCCUAAACGAUGUCUACUAGUUGUCGGGUCUUAAUUGACUUGGUAACGCAGCUAACGCGUGAAGUAGACCGCCUGGGGGNGGUACGGUCGGUCGAGAGUUAAACGUACGAAGAAGUUAGAGGCGNGNGGAGNGCGACGGACGACGACGAGGGAGGAGG
rnacentral:rRNA from 1 species